AACGAACGCUGGCGGCAGGCCUAACACAUGCAAGUCGAGCGAGGACUUCGGUCCUAGCGGCGGACGGGUGUGUAACGCGUGGGAACGUGCCCUUUGCUUCGGAAUAGCCCUGGGAAACUGGGAGUAAUACCGGAUGAGCCCUUUGGGGGAAAGAUUUAUCGGCGAAGGAUCGGCCCGCGUUGGAUUAGGUAGUUGGUGGGGUAAUGGCCUACCAAGCCGACGAUCCAUAGCUGGUUUGAGAGGAUGAUCAGCCACACUGGGACUGAGACACGGCCCAGACUCCUACGGGAGGCAGCAGUGGGGAAUCUUAGACAAUGGGGGAAACCCUGAUCUAGCCAUGCCGCGUGAGCGAUGAAGGCCUUAGGGUUGUAAAGCUCUUUCAGCUGGGAAGAUAAUGACGGUACCAGCAGAAGAAGCCCCGGCUAACUCCGUG
rnacentral:rRNA from 1 species